GGCUACAGGUGUGUGAAGUUACACUGCACAGAACUUUCAUUCAUCUUGGGUCAAAUACACUCACUUUCAGAGCUGGGUGCUUAAAUUCUUACAGGCUGAGACAGAUAAUAUGUGUUUCUUCCUCCAUCAAUAUAUUUGCUUGUCUUAGGCAGAAACACCCUUUUCCCAUGGCACAAGUGCCAUGCAGAUACCUCAACUGGCUGACUUGUAAAACCAAACUUCAUUUAGGAGGCCGAGAAAAGAUGAGAUUGUAAUCCUUCUCCUCCACUAAAGGAGGUGCAAGUAGAAUGGGAGAAAGUAAUGGCUGCCAUCCUUUUCUCUCACAGCCUUGCAGGAGCUUCCCAGGGCUUAGUCCAGUCCCAUUCCUGAGAUUGCCAAAUGGGCUUUCAUGUGGCCUUGGGGGCUUGGCAGUAACUGUUAGAACCUUGCUCUUUAAGUGAGGAUGAGAAAUGAAUAUUCUAAAUGGGAAGAACUUCCACAAUCAACAACAAAAAGUAAGGGUGUUCUCUAUUUUGUUGAUGCCACUGAUUUCAAGGUCUACUGGUUACAGGGGAAUAUGCAGGAAAUGGUGUAUGGCUUUCCAAAUGAUUGCUGGAGGCCUGAAAAGGAGGGAGAAGGAUGAAAGAUCUGCUUCUCAUAAGAGCUGGUUUAAAAUGGCAAAAGUUUUCAUUUAAUGAAAAUGAACAUUAUUAAUCUAUUUAAAUAUAAAAUUGAUUUGCUUGGUCAAUUUUCCUAUUUUAAUUGAGCGGUUUUGGAUGUGGCCAGUAAGGAGGGAUUACUGGUUAAGAAAUCUAUGAAGUCAUCUUUGAAGCAAACUCAGACUUUUACCCCUUCAGUUUUCAGGAAGAAUUACUAUGUUCCCAUUUCUCUUUCUCAUUUUCACUGCCAUGGUUUUAUUCCAAAUUGGGCUGUGGCAAAGCAUCACAUAAUUUUAUUCUUUUUUUCCAGAGACAGCCUUCCCAAGUUCAUGUGGAUUGUGGCUUCUUGGGCAGAGUUCAACUUCAGCUAUCAGCCUGCACCCUAGGACCAUUACUGACCACUGCAGACGCAUCACUUGCACCGUGGCACAUUUUGAUGUCCAGGAGAACUCAAUACUUUUGCUAUAAAGAAUGUGGACGUGAAGACCAGCUUGUAUAUUUGUGUCCCUGAAUGUCUUCCACUUGAGGAAAAACCUGUGGGCUUUUGGAAAAGGUCCUGAAACCUAAUUUAAAAGCAUCACCAGCAGGAAAAACCCAUCAUGAAGUGGGAGAAAAUCUUGAACAUUAUUAAUUUGAAUCGUGGAGCUGUAUAGAAACAGAUAUUGAUACAAUGCAGCUAACGUGUGACAGAGUACCAAAUGGACGUCCUUCGAGAAGUCGGUUCUAACUUCUCUAAGUCAUCACUUCUCUCUUAGUAGGCCAUGUUUUUUAGGGAAUCACUCAGCAUGUGUAUCAGCUUUCCCAGUCCUAAAUUCUUUUAAGCUGCGUAUUUCUUUUGGAGUGAAAAUUUGAGACAGUGUAGCCCAUGAAUUACUGUGAAGACAUCGAAGCCACAUUUCUCACUUUUAAGGGACUGGUGUGGUGGCAUACAGGAGCCUAAUGUUCCAUGCAAUUUGUGAUUUUCCACUUUAUUGAAGAAAUAAUUCUGUUUGUAGUUUUAUGAACUUGCAGUCUUGAAUACACAGUAGUGCAAGUCACAAUUUUAUCUAUAGGCUGUUCCAUCUUGAAUGAAGAAAUACUAUAUGUUGUUAAAACCCUGAUCUCCAAGAGUUUGUAAAAAAAAAAAAUAAUGAUGUUUGACUUAAAAUGUAAUUUUUAAAAAUUGAACAUUUAUUAUUAAAACUUCUUUCAGAAAAAAAAAAAAAAAAGGGUAUAAUUUUUGUGCAUUAAUGCUUGUCUGGCAGACACUGGAAGUAUUUCUUCUGAAAGAAGAAUACCUGUAGUCACAAGCCUGAGGAAGUGGUACUGUAGAUGGAUGAAUGCUUUCAGCUUAAUUGCAUGUGUUGAAGCUUUUCCAGGUGAAAAGCCCUGACUGGAAAGUAGAGG
ensembl:lncRNA